rnacentral:rRNA from 1 species
CCUACGGGAGGCAGCAGUAGGGAAUCUUUCACAAUGGGCGAAAGCCUGAUGGAGCAACGCCGCGUGCAGGAUGAAGGCCUUCGGGUUGUAAACUUCUUUUAUAAGCGAGAAAUAUGAUGGUAACUUAUGAAUAAGGAUCGGCUAACUACGUGCCAGCAGCCGCGGUCAUACGUAGGAUCCGAGCAUUAUCCGGAGUGACUGAGUGUAAAGAGUUGCGUAGGUGGCAUAAUAAGUAGCUAGUGAAAUCUGGUGGCUCAACCAUUCAGACUAUUAGCUAAACUGUUAAGCUCGAGACCGUUAGGGGUAACUGGAAUUUCUAGUGUAGGAGUGAAAUCCGUAGAUAUUAGAAGGAACACCGAUAGCGUAGGCAGGUUGCUGGGACGGUUCUGACACUAAGGCACGAAAGCGUAGGGAGCAAACGGGAUUAGAUACCCCAGUAGUC